UCCAGAUAGUCCCUUCCCCGUCUUGGAUUGACCAUACUGGCCUUCUCUGCCAUGGCAAUCCCUCUAUUAAACCCCUCCCUCCAUUAACGAAAACCGCGCAAUCUUCCAGUUUAUUAUAAAUUUCCUCUAUCAAUCACCAGUGUCUCUGCUACACAUUUCCCAUCUCUCCUCCCAGAUCCAAAGGUCCAAUUUUCAAUGGCAACGAACAACGACACACACAGAUCCGGAUCCGCCACCCCCACCCCCACCGUCAAUGGCGACGCCGAAGCUCCACGCAAGCCCAGGAUAGCUUUGGUCACUGGCAUAACCGGCCAAGACGGCUCCUAUUUAACGGAAUUUCUCCUCAACAAAGGGUAUGAGGUUCAUGGUUUGAUCCGUCGUUCGUCUAACUUCAACACCCAGCGCAUCAACCACAUUUACAUCGAUCCUCACAAUACCCACAAGGCCCGUAUGAAGCUACACUAUGCUGAUCUCACUGACGCCUCCUCUCUUCGCCGCUGGCUUGAUACCAUUCUUCCCGACGAGGUUUACAAUCUCGCUGCUCAAUCCCAUGUCGCUGUGUCUUUCGAAAUUCCUGAUUAUACUGCAGAUGUGGUGGCCACUGGUGCUCUCCGCCUCCUUGAGGCCGUAAGAUCUCAUAUCGCUGCCACGGGAAGAAGUCAUAUCCGUUAUUAUCAGGCUGGAUCAUCGGAAAUGUUUGGAUCCACUCCACCUCCCCAAUCUGAAAUAUCUCCAUUCCAUCCAAGAUCUCCAUACGCGGCGUCCAAAUGCGCGGCGCAUUGGUACACAGUUAAUUACCGCGAGGCAUAUGGGUUGUUUGCAUGUAAUGGGAUCUUGUUCAACCACGAAUCUCCAAGGCGUGGAGAGAAUUUUGUCACUAGGAAGAUUACAAGAGCUGUCGGGAGGAUUAAGACCGGAUUGCAGAGCAAACUAUUUCUGGGUAAUUUGCAGGCGUCAAGGGACUGGGGAUUUGCUGGGGAUUACGUAGAGGCUAUGUGGAUGAUGCUGCAGCAAGAAAAGGCUGAUGAUUACGUGGUGGCGACUGAGGAGUCGCAUACGGUGGCGGAGUUCUUGGAGGUGGCAUUUGGAUAUGUGGGUCUGAAUUGGAAGGAUCAUGUGGUGAUUGACAAAAGGUAUUUUAGGCCAGCGGAGGUGGAUAAUUUGAAAGGGGAUUCAAGCAAGGCAAGGAAAGUGCUUGGAUGGAAACCAAAGGUGGGGUUUGAGCAGCUGGUGAAAAUGAUGGUAGAUGAAGACAUUGAACUUGCUAAGAGGGAGAAGGUGCUGGUGGAUGCUGGUUAUAUGGAUUCCCAGCAACAGCCUUAAUGAGAUAUAGCUUGUAUGUUGGGUGGUGCUUCUACUGAUUCAGAUCACAUAGCAAUUUGAGUUUACUGGGAUGAAAUGUCAGCAUAGCUUUGAACCAUUUAGAUAACUUCGUUUUGUUUUAAGGGAGGAUAACUUAUAUUUUUAUAAGUUUUUUUUUUUUAAAAAAAAUUGUUAAUGUUCAUUUGAUGUUUUAUUAUCUGAAAAUCUGUAAUCUUAUUUAGUUGAAAGAAAAAUUCUGGGAUGAAAUUCUUUCAAUGAAAGUUAUCCUUUUAUUAUUGA
rnacentral:misc_RNA from 1 species